UCACCAGCUCAGGAGUAGGAGCCGACAUCAGUACCAGUCCAACUACUGCGGCUUCAUCUGGUCAUGGUGACCUUCAGAUGCAGAUCGAAAGAAUUUGUGAGCAAGAAGUGUGUCACAUUUCCCAUCCAGGCCCACGGAAGGCCCUGGGCACAGACCCUCCCUUAGAAUGCUGUAAAGCCAUCAUGGAGGGAGAGAUGGACGCAGUUAAGCAAGAUAAACCACAAUCUAGAAGGAUGAGAAAGCAAAGAACGCCAGUUCAACUCUCAGGUGCUGCCGAGGCCUCAGGUCGCCAUGCUGUGCCCAGUAGGGCCUGGGCGAAUUCCCCCACUUCACUAAGCAGCAGAGGUGUGAGGAGCUCUCCUGAAACAGACUCUGAUGGCUCCUAAGAGAGUUCCUCCUCUCCAUGGUUACGACUGGCGUGGACUCACAGGGACCACCGAGGGCCCUGGCAGAUGGACGGGCCAGCACUGGGAAGUCUAAACAGCCACCUCCAAAGCUCAGCCAGAGAAAGAAAACAGGAGCAGAAAAAAGACCUGCAGCUGUGGACUGCCCUGCUGAUUCCAGGGAGGUCCACGAGCUUCAGAUCAAAAUACCAGAUACACUUCAA